AUGGUAUCAGAGCCUUCUAAGAGGCAAUUCUUCGUCGUGCUUUACCCGGUUGAUCCACUGUCUUCUGGUGAGAAAUUUUCUUCUGCAAACCGUGUCAUCAUUCCGGUUUGUUUCACCUUUUUUUUUAAAAAAUUUCCAGCGCCCUCCGCCGCCACACUGCCCACGGAAAAAAAAAAUUCGGGAGGUUGUUCACCGCCGCCGCCACUGUUCACCACCGCCGCCACCGUUCAUCGUCGCCGCUACUGUUCACGAAAAAAAAAUUUAUCGAAAAAUCGCAUUCCUCCUCCGGUUCCAGAUCCGCCCUCGGUUUCCGUUUUCAACUCACAGAAGGUCAUACUCUUAUUCAAACAGCCCCAGUUGUUG